CCUGGUUAAAUAAAGGUGUUCUCAACUUGCCUACCUGGUUAAAUAAAGGUGUUCUCAACUGGCCUGCCUGGUUAAAUAAAGGUGUUCUCAACUGGCCUCCCUGGUUAAAUAAAGGUGUUCUCAACUGGCCUACCUGGUUAAAUAAAGGUGUUCUCAACUGGCCUACCUGGUUAAAUAAAGGUGUUCUCAACUAGCCUACCUGGUUAAAUAAAGGUGUUCUCAACUGGCCUACCUGGUUAAAUAAAGGUGUUCUCAACUGGCCUACCUGGUUAAAUAAAGGUGUUCUCAACUGGCCUACCUGGUUAAAUAAAGGUGUUCUCAACUAGCCUACCUGGUUAAAUAAAGGUGUUCUCAACUAGCC
ensembl:lncRNA